GGCUAUGACCAUAUGGCCCUUAAGGCACCCAGUCUUGUCUGAUCACGGAAGCUAAGCAGAGUCAGAUCUGUUUAGUACUUGAAAGGGAGACGACAUACUGAAAGAACUGAGUUCUACACA
ensembl:rRNA 5S_rRNA 5S ribosomal RNA